GUGUCAGUAGUGCAACGGGUCAGAGCACACGCUCUCAGAUAGGGAGGAAUGCGGGUUUGAGUCCCGCCUGACGUCA